AUUGAACGCUGGCGGAAUGCUUUACACAUGCAAGUCGAACGGCAGCACGGACUUCGGUCUGGUGGCGAGUGGCGAACGGGUGAGUAAUGUAUCGGAACGUGCCCAGUCGUGGGGGAUAACGUAGUGAAAAUUACGCUAAUACCGCAUACGAUCUAUGGAUGAAAGCGGGGGAUCGCAAGACCUCGCGCGAUUGGAGCGGCCGAUAUCAGAUUAGGUAGUUGGUGGGGUAAAGGCCCACCAAGCAAACGAUCUGUAGCUGGUCUGAGAGGACGACCAGCCACACUGGAACUGAGACACGGUCCAGACUCCUACGGGAGGCGGCAGUGGGGAAUUUUGGACAAUGGGCGAAAGCCUGAUCCAGCCAUUCCGCGUGCAGGAUGAAGGCCCUCGGGUUGUAAACUGCUUUUGUACAGAACGAAAAGGUUUCUACUAAUACUAGGAGCUCAUGACGGUACUGUAAGAAUAAGCACCGGCUAACUACGUGCCAGCAGCCGCAGUAA
rnacentral:rRNA from 1 species